rnacentral:rRNA from 1 species
UACGUAGGGGGCAAGCGUUGUUCGGAAUUACUGGGCGUAAAGGGCGCGUAGGCGGCACGGCACGUCAGGAGUGAAAGUCCUGGGCUCAACCGAGGAACUGCUUUUGAGACUGCCGAGCUAGAGUGCAGAAGGGGCAACUGGAAUUCCCAGUGUAGCGGUGAAAUGCGUAGAUAUUGGGAAGAACACCUGAGGCGAAGGCGGGUUGCUGGGCUGACACUGACGCUGAGGCGCGAAAGCCAGGGGAGCAAACGGG